UACGAAGGGGGCUAGCGUUGCUCGGAAUCACUGGGUGUAAAGGGUGCGCAGGCGGAUUUGUAAGUCAGAGGUGAAAUCUCACGGCUUAACCGUGAAACUGCCUUUGAUACUGCGGAUCUUGAGUUAGAGAGAGGUUGAUGGAAUUCCAGGUGUAGCGGUGAAAUGCGUAGAUAUCUGGAAGAACACCAGUGGCGAAGGCGGCCCUCUGGACGGAUACUGACGCUGAGGCGCGAAAGCGUGGGGAUCAAACAGG
rnacentral:rRNA from 1 species